rnacentral:rRNA from 1 species
UACGGAGGGUGCAAGCGUUAUCCGGAAUCACUGGGUUUAAAGGGUGCGUAGGCGGGGCGGUAAGUCAGAGGUGAAAUCUCAUUGCUUAACAAUGGACUUGCCUUUGAUACUGCUGUUCUUGAAAUAUGUUGAGGUUGGCGGAAUGUGACAUGUAGCGGUGAAAUGCUUAGAUAUGUCAUAGAACACCGAUUGCGAAGGCAGCUGACUGGACAUUAUUUGACGCUGAGGCACGAAAGCGUGGGGAU